GCAUUGGGAGAGAGCAGUUCUGUGGGACGUUGUAACCCGCCGUUUGAACCUAACCGUCUAAUCCAUGUGGAAUUGAUUCUGUUGUGUGGCGGGAGGAUGCAGUGGUCACAAGAAGCACGUCACGGCCCCGCCAGCCCUCCGUGCUUUUCUCUGGCUGUUCACAGGCGCCGAUUCUAGUGGCUCCUAUGUCAUCAUCGGGAAGCAAGUCUGUCAGGCAUGCAGCUGCGGGGUGACCUACACUAGUGAGAGGCACAGCCAUGAAAACAAGGGCAUCACCUCAAGUGAGAGGAAAACAGUAAUGACAGAAAACUGCAGCAGGAAGGAGCUGUGGGAAUCUAUUGCUGGGGACCAAAGAGGCAGGCGUGACCUGAGCGCCCGCGCAGACUGGCUGUGGGGACCUGAAGGCUGCGUAUUUGUCGUGAGGGCACCGGAGGCCAGCUUUGCCCCGUUUGUGAGAAGGGUUGCCGUGAGCAGCCUGCGGCGUGGAGGAGACACGAUGGAAGAGACGUAGCUAGAUGUGGAGGCCGGGGAGCAAAUGCUCACAACACAGGCUGUCCAGGGGAAGAGAUGAAAUCACAAAAGCGUCAGUCAUAACGACUGGCUUCUUGGUUUUCUCCCACUCCUAACUCAUUUGGCCAGCCCCCUCUGCGGUGGCCUGCGUGGGGACAGUUGGUGGUGAAGCCAUCCACCUUGGCUUUAGUCACGGCCCACGACUGUACCAGCUUAUCACGCCGGGCCCGACCCUUCCCCCACCCGCGGCGGCCCCGCAUCGCCUUCCGGAGCGCUCGCCCGCCUCCCGCUCUCUCCCCUUUCACAGCACUCAUCAGAAUUGCUAUGAUUUCCUUAUUGACUGUACGCUUUAGAAGAUUGUACCAGGAGAAAGAGAAGAAACGGAUGCAGGUAGAGAGCGUGUCUUGUUACCGGAGCAGCCCUGGCCCCGGCACAGCUCGGGCCCGCUACCUAGAUUGUCAGCGACCGAAUGAGUGAGUAGGUGACACGAAACACCUCCACCCCACUCCCAGUGUCCUUGUCGUGAUGACUUCUGUUCAAAGCUUGCCCCUCCCUGCUAAGCGUUCCAGAGUGGAAGCAGUUUCUGCCACCCCACUUUACUCCUGUCUAGUUCCAGGACAUUUUCAUCACCCCCAAAGGAAGCCACGUGGAAAACAGUCUGGAGCUUCCUCAGAAAGUCAAACAUGGAGUACCCGUGUGACCCAGCGAUUCCACUCUAGGGAAGAAAAGUCAGAAGAACAGGAUCUCCAGGGCCUGAAGGAUAAACCUUUGAAGUUUAAAAAGGUGAAGAAGGAUAAGAAAGAAGACAAAGAGGGCAAGCAUGAGCCCCUGCAGCCGGCGGCCCACCACUCUGCUGAGCCAGCAGAAGCAGGUAAAGCAGAGACCUCGGAAGGGUCAGGCUCGGCCCCAGCCGUGCCAGAAGCUUCGGCCUCCCCCAAACAGCGGCGCUCCAUCAUUCGCGACCGGGGACCCAUGUACGACGACCCCACUCUGCCUGAAGGUUGGACCCGAAAGCUUAAGCAAAGGAAAUCUGGCCGCUCCGCUGGGAAGUAUGAUGUGUAUUUGAUCAAUCCCCAGGGAAAAGCCUUUCGCUCUAAAGUGGAGCUGAUUGCGUACUUCGAAAAGGUAGGCGACACCUCCCUGGACCCUAAUGAUUUUGACUUCACGGUAACUGGGAGAGGGAGCCCCUCCCGGCGAGAGCAGAAACCGCCUAAGAAGCCCAAAUCUCCCAAAGCUCCAGGGACUGGCAGAGGCCGCGGACGCCCCAAGGGGAGCGGCGCCACGAGGCCCAAGGCGGCAGCGUCCGAGGGCGUGCAGGUGAAGAGGGUCCUGGAGAAAAGUCCCGCGAAGCUGCUCGUCAAGAUGCCUUUCCAAGCUUCGCCGGGCAGCAAGGCUGAAGGGGCUGGGGCCACCACGUCGGCCCAGGUCAUGGUGAUCAAACGCCCCGGCCGGAAGCGAAAAGCCGAGGCUGACCCCCAGGCCAUUCCCAAGAAACGGGGCCGAAAGCCGGGCAGUGUGGUGGCGGCUGCCGCCGCCGAGGCCAAGAAGAAAGCCGUGAAGGAGUCUUCCAUCCGGUCUGUGCAGGAGACCGUGCUGCCCAUCAAGAAGCGCAAGACCCGGGAGACGGUGAGCAUCGAGGUGAAGGAGGUGGUGAAGCCCCUGCUGGUGUCCACCCUUGGCGAGAAGAGCGGGAAGGGACUGAAGACCUGCAAGAGCCCCGGGCGGAAAAGCAAGGAGAGCAGCCCCAAGGGGCGCAGCGGCAGCGCCUCCUCGCCCCCCAAGAAGGAGCACCACCACCACCACCACCAUGUGGAGCCCCCGAAGGCACCCGCGCCACUGCUCCCGCCCCCGCCCCCGCCCCCGCCGGAGCCCCAGAGCUCCGAGGACCCCGCCAGCCCCCCCGAGCCCCAGGACUUGAGCAGCAGCGUCUGCAAGGAGGAGAAGAUGCCGAGAGCAGGCUCGCUGGAGAGCGACGGCUGCCCCAAGGAGCCAGCUAAGACUCAGCCCGCGCUCACGACCGCCGCCGCGGCCACAGAAAAGUACAAACACCGAGGGGAGGGAGAGCGCAAAGACAUUGUCUCAUCCUCCAUGCCAAGGCCAAACAGAGAGGAGCCUGUGGACAGCCGGACGCCCGUGACCGAGAGAGUUAGCUGACUUUACACAGAGCGGAUUGCAAAGCAAACCAACAAGAAUAAAGGCAGCUGUUGUCUCUUCUCCUUAUGGGUCCUGCUCAGCAGUGAGAGAAAAUGGAAUCAAAAGGCCACAAGGUUUGGCUCCUGCCCACUGGUAGUCCCUCUCCCCACAGUGUUUGUGUGUCAAGUGACAAAGCUGUUCUUCCUGGUGACCCUGAUUAUAUCCAGUAUCUCAUAGACUAUACGCAUAGACCUGCUUGGUCUCUUCUAUCCUGGGCUUUUGUUUUGCUUUUUAGUUUUGCUUUGAGUUCUUCUGUCCCUUUUAUUUAAUGCACCGACUAGACACACAAAGCAGUUGAAUUUUUAUAUAUAUAUAUCUGUAUAUUGCACAGUUAUCAACUCAUUUUGCUUGUGGCUCCACACACACAAAAAAAGACCUGUUAAAAUUAUACCUGUUGCUUAAUUACAAUAUUUCUGAUAACCAUAGCAUAGGACAAGGGAAA